rnacentral:lncRNA from 1 species
GUAUAUCUUCAGAGUGUUGCAGAAUGUGCUAGAAGGGCUCUGAGGCCUCUGCUGAUGGGACUGGAUGAAGCCUGAAAUGGUUUUACGAUGCUUCUUCCCUUCCCACUCACUGCACUCCUUCCUGCAGGCGCCACUUCAGUCCUCUCAAGCGUGUGGAGCUGAAUGGAAAUUUUAUACUAUUGGUAGCAGCAGUUAGAAAAUGUCUGGUGUGGGAAGGAGGAUCUAACAGAACAAGAUGGUCCUUGAGAAUUACAUGUGUCUGUGUUGUCUCCCCAGAGGCAGAGACGGAGAUUGACUGAACCACCAUUCAGAUGGUGCUAUUAAAUUCCAGGAGGUACUUCUGGUGGUGAGUUCUCCAUCACCACUCAGCAUUCCUAGCCAUCAGUCACUGGUGAACGAGGAGAGAGAGGGUGGGGAGAGGGGACCUGACAUACCACAUUCUGUUCAGCUCAUGACUUAGAGCUGAACAGCAGCGUGUGCUGGUACAGGGGCAGAUGAUCUGAUUCUGGCACUGGGAAUCUGUGUUUUAG